rnacentral:lncRNA from 1 species
GGGUAUAUUUGGCUCAGGUUCUCAAAUUGCAUCCAUACCUUUCUCCCCCUGCCCAUACCUCCAGAUUACCCCUUCUUCUGAGGGAUCAAGGUAGUACUGUACCUUGCUCCUCAGGGGCAUAAUCACCACUACAACGUGGCACCUUGAACCCAAGCUGCUAGGGGGUGCCUCAGAGUCACAAAUCUUGGCUUCAUGGGAAACCUACAUCUAAUCCUGCCAAGGAGAGCAAACUUGCACCUCAAGACCCAGGUGCCAUAACAGUGCAAGGCCAAGAUGAAAGGUUUCCACAGCAGAGAACAAGAAAUGAAUUAUCUCAUUCAAGGAUGAGAGGAGAACAUAAUUUAUCUUGGAUGAACUACUGUGCUAGAGAGCUAAGAAGGAAUGAAGUGAAGAUUUUCAAACCCCUGAGGGAG